GGCUCAUCCGAGUGCAGUGGUGUUUACAACUAAUUGAUCACAACCAGUUACAGAUUCCUUUGUUCCUUCUUCACUCCCACUGCUUCACUUGACUAGCCUUAA
rnacentral:Y_RNA from 1 species